rnacentral:rRNA from 1 species
UACGUAGGGUGCAAGCGUUGUCCGGAAUUAUUGGGCGUAAAGAGCUCGUAGGCGGCCUGUUACGUCUGCUGUGAAAUCCCGGGGCUUAACCCCGGGCGUGCAGUGGAUACGGGCAGGCUGGAGGCAGACAGGGGAGAACGGAAUUCCCGGUGUAGCGGUGAAAUGCGCAGAUAUCGGGAGGAACACCGGUGGCGAAGGCGGUUCUCUGGGCCUGUACUGACGCUGAGGAGCGAAAGCGUGGGGAGCGAACAGG